rnacentral:rRNA from 1 species
AUACGGAGGGUGCAAGCGUUAUUCGGAAUCACUGGGCGUAAAGGGUGCGUAGGCGGUUUGAUAAGUCUGAUGUGAAAUCCUAUGGCUCAACCAUAGAACUGCAUUGGAAACUGUCAGACUAGAAUACUGAAGGGGCAGAUGGAAUUAGUGGUGUAGGGGUAAAAUCCGUAGAUAUUACUAGGAAUACCGAAAGCGAAAGCGAUCUGCUGGGAAGUUAUUGACGCUGAGGCACGAAAGCGUGGGGAGCAAACUGGAUUAGAAACCCCAGUGUCC